AGAGUAGAAAGCAGGGCGUCAAGUGCCGGUGUGACAGGGAGUUGCAUAUCGGACGAAGGACGGCUGUCCGCGGUCCUGUUUUCGCAUCCCGCU
rnacentral:ncRNA from 1 species